UACGGAGGGGGCGAGCGUUAUUCGGAAUUAUUGGGCGUAGAGGGCGCGUAGGCGGCUGUACAAGUCAAAGGUGAAAUCCCUCGGCUCAACUGAGGAACUGCCUUUGAAACUGUACGCUUGAGGCCGGGAGGGGGUAGCGGAAUUCCCAAUGUAGCGGUGAAAUGCGUAGAUAUUGGGAGGAACACCAGUGGCGAAGGCGCUACCUGGACCGGUUCUGACGCUGAGGCGCGAAAGCGUGGGUAGCAAACAGG
rnacentral:rRNA from 1 species